AAAUCAAUAUUAUAAACUCAAUGUAAGAGGCUGACCCUCCCCCCACCUCUGCUACAGCAGAGACUACAUUAACGCUGUGCAAAUGAAAGCAGACAUUUAGAGGCUUAUCAGGUCCCUUUACUAAAAGCAAUAACAGAGAUUCUGCAAUGGGGAUUCUGUCCCACUGAAACCGUGUCUUUCUGUGACUGAUGCCUGGGCUCUGGCACCAAGCCUGGCGUUCAAUAUCACCUCAGACACUUAUUAUUGUUAUCAGUUGAGGCAAUUAUAGUUCCAUGUAAAACAGAUGUUUAUCAGUUGUACCGUCACUCAACCACCCAGCACUUCCCUGGCACCCACAGGGUGGCCAUUAUUAUUAAAAUGAAUCACAUUAGAAAUGAACAGUUCCAUGUAACAACUAUUCUGACUUCACAGCCUAUUUCCUGAGCUCAUGGUUUGCCUAAAUUUCACUGUAACAUGUCAGGAAACUUUGGAGCUAUGUUAGAUCCGUGAUACAUUUAUUUAUGUGUAUGCAUGUGUGCCUGCUGGUCUGUAUGUGCCCAUUGUGCCUGCAGUGCCUGUAGAGGCCAGAAGAGGGCGUCAAAUCCCUGGAACUGCAGUUACAGGCUGUGAACCACCUUUGUGGCUGCUUGAAGUUGAGUCCAGGUCCUCUGCAAGGGUAACAAAGUCUUAAUUGUCUCUCCAGCCUCGUGCCUGGCAUUCUGAAAUACUUGAAGAGAAGCUGUUGACCCACCAACACGUUGUCCUUCACGUAUUAAAAUUGAAACUGGUGGGCACAACACCUCCACUGUUGUGGCGUGAAACCGAUGGUUGGGGCAUCUGUACCUCUAACAUCAAGUUAGACUUUAAUCCACGUGCUGUGUUGAGCAAGUCCUCUGCUCCCCCAACCGGUUCUCGUAGCAGCUGACUCUUUUCCUGUGGUGGGGUCAUAAAGAGCUAACACACUGCUUUGUGAUUUCAGCCAGCCUGCUCUGUUUUGAGUAUAUUUCUUUGGGCCUUGCUUCAUUCCAGAGAUAAUGUGAAGUAUUUUAAUUGACUGUGGUAUGUUCAGAGGCUAAUGUUAACUAGUUAAUUUUUUCCUGCAAACUGUUUAAUAUUUGAUGCAAAACAAAACAUAAUUAAAUAUCUAGACUCAGCGACGGAAGAAUGAAUGGUGGAGUUUUUCAAGCAAGACAAGCAAGCAUGAAAUCAGAAGUAUGUUCUAUAAAGUGGCUGGUUCCCUUCACUUCUGAACAUUAGCUAAGGGAAAAAAAAUAGCAAUUUUGAAGCUGGAUGGUGCACACUUGUGAUCCCAAGAGGGCUGCUCAGGAGGCCGCGGCAGGAGGAGGAGCCACACUUGUCUAGGCUACACAGUGAGUUCAGGGACUUCUUUGGCCAACUUAGCGAGACCCUGGCCCAAAAGUAGGGCUGGGAUCUAGCUCAGUGGUAGAGUGCUGGCAUGUGUGGGGCACUAGUUCCAGGACUGCAAACACAAUAGAAUUGAACCCUAGCUAGCCGCGAGUGAGUGCAAGCCACACAGCGGGUUAGCUAAAGAGGCAGGUACCAUGAUCACCCAGGACAGGGGCUGAGCAGGAGGUGACAUGUGGGGCCAGAAGCAGUCCUAACUCCAGGGUGCUUGGCAUUGAUGCCUUUUUCUAAAUCACGGGGAAGAAAAGGCCCAGAAGGCCCACUUCCCAGAGCUCUAACUAAAGCUGGCUUCCGGUACCCCACGGCCUCCUCCGGCACUAGCAAGGGAGGUGGGAGGUGCCCUGGCUGCUGAUGUGGAAUUCAGGGACUGAGAGGGGACCUGUUUCCAUCAUUGUAAACGACAGAGUUAGCGGGGUGUUAAAAAAAAAAGAUAACAAACUCACAACAAGUUUUGUACAAAAGCAUUUUUUUUUUUUAAAAAAGGGCAGGGUUGAACACAACCAAAAGAUAGGGAAUUCUUUGUGCCAUAGCAGAAGGUGUGCGUGUGACCAUGGUAAAAUUUGCUUUGAUUUUAUCACACAAGUCUGUGACAGACACAGUCUCACUGUGAAGACUACGGACAGGCAAGACUUUUUCCCUUUCGAUCUCCCCGACCCAGGUCGAGCAUCCUUCCCUCCAGCCUUCCUCUUGGCUGCACGCACAGCUACUAAAGCAAUGUUUAUAACUCCAGUCACUUAAACUGCUGGCCUGGGAAACAAGGCUCUAGCAAUUCUACCCCUCACAGAUCUGAAAACAUCAAAGAUCUUCCCAAAGCGGCUCAGAGAUUUUCCAAGCCCAAGACUAAAAAUUACCUUCUCAGCAUAUGUCCCACACUGUACAAGCAUUGAGUGAACAGCAAUUAAGAAAACCAGAUAGCUCAGACCAAAUGAUGCAGGGAAGGAAGGGUCAGAGCGGCGAAACUCGGCUAAGUAAGCUACUGAUUUUACAGCAGAGAGGAAGGCCAGGCUCCAGCAAGAUGCAAGGAGGGAGAACUCCAUCAACCCAGCCCUUCACACAGCUUCUCUGGGGUCUCCUUGGGAGGAAUGCAAAUUCCUCAGCCCAUGCUAAGACCUCUGGUCAGCCAGCUAUGUUCUUGGCAAUACAAAGACACUGUAAAGCCACCAUAGUGUGUUGAAUCAGUCAUUUGAAGAUUUAACCAAAUCUCUGAGGUCAUCAUAAAGCUUAAGAACAAGAAAAGCUCCUGUUACAUCAAGAAGGGCCGUCCAUAUUUACAGUAGAACUAUAAGCUGAACCGGCCGGCAUGCAUGCUGGGUAAACACCCUAGCACUGAAUCACACCUAUCCUCUUUUCCCUUCUGAAAACGUGAGACAAGAUUGACUAAGGUACCCAGGCUGGCCUUGAAUUCACUCUACUCAGCCUCCCAAAUAGCAGAAAUUAGAAGCCUGUACCACCAGGCUAGUCAUUAAAACAAAACAAAACCUUUUAAUUAUCAUUAUUGUGUGUGGGCACCUGAUGCCAUGCAUGCGUGUCGUGGCAUAUAUGUGAAAGUCAGAGGACAACUCUGGAGUCUGCUGACUUCUUCCACCUGUAUGUGGGUCCUAGGGGCGAACUCAGGUUGUCAAACUCACUAGGCAAGCACCAAACACCUUGCUGGCCGUUUAGCUCUGGUUGGUCUGGAACUCUCAACCCUCUUGGUGGUGGGAUUACAAGCACAGGCCACUGAGUAUGAUAAAAGGGCCAUAGCCCUUUCUCUCUCUCUCUCUCUCUCUCUCUCUCUCUCUCUCUCUCUCUCUCUCUCUCUCUCUCUCUCUCUCUCUGUUUUAGACAUGAUUUCUCUGUAGCUUUGGAGCUGUCCUGGAACUAGCUCUUACAGACCAGGCUGGCCUCGAACUCACAGAGAUCCGCCUGCCUCUGCCUACAGAGGGUUAGGAUUAAAGGCGUGCGCCACCUCUGCGCGGCAAGAAUGGCCUCUUCUAUACAGAGUCACUUACACAAAUGCACGUAUGGGACUUGCAGGAUGGGGCAGAAACACAGAAGUGGGAGAGGAGAAAGGCAUGGUGGUUUGCCAUCUGAAGUCUGGAAAUGAAAUUCCAGUUUUAUUAAAAGCUUUUGGCAGACAACACAGGCUGACUGUUAAGUCAAUCCCGCUGUUCCCCUUUCACUUCAAUGUUCAGCUAUACCGCCGGGCCUCCGAGUGUGAACUUCAGCAAGACUGUGGGACAACAGGACUUGGGCCACAGACCGUGUGGAUUCUUUCAUGGAGGACGCCACGUUCACAAGCUCGUCUCAAGCCAUGUGAACUUCCCAUCCCCUACAUUUCUUCCUUAGCCUUCAACAUCCGAGCAUAAGUACAAAACCCGUGAAGCUUCCCAGUGAGGAAGCCCUGACUCCCAGCCCACAGGUGGGAUACGAAAGCUACUAACUGAAAUUUUCAAUGGUCCGUGUAAACAUGUCAUUCCAGUGGUGUGUCAGAGAUGAGGGCUCAGUACAGGUUCAGGGCAGCAGAGUGGCCACUGGAGACUAUCCCCUGCUUUCUAAAUGAAUGAAGGACAUCAAAAUCUCAGAGGAGGACAUGGGUCAUGAGUCACAGUUACAGAGUGGAUAGGUCUCCCAAAGCACAGAUUAGGGGUCAUAAAACAUCAGACGAAUACAUUUACCUAUAGAACAUUAAAAUUUCUUUGAGGCCAAAACGAUCGUAAACACAGUCAAAAGAUAUACUAUAGUGUUUUAACAUUAAAAACUUAAAAAAAUUUGUGUAUGUGUGUGUGCGCACGUGCGUUUGUGUGGAUAUAUGGAGGUCACAGGACAACUGUGGGGGUUGGUGAUCUCUCUCUGUCUCUGUCAUGUGGUCCCAGGGAGUCAGACUCAGGUCAUUGGCCUUGGCAAUACCUUUACCAGCUGAGCUCCUUCUCUUAGGCCCAAGCACCACUUCCUGAACAUUUACAAAAGGGAGGACAAGAUAAAGCCUAGACAGACAGAAUGGAAGCAAGGUACGUGGCCAGUGAGAGGCCGCUCAUAUUCACUGGUCCACAGAUGCCAGUUAAAGCAAUAAAUCAACAGCAUUCUUCGCUUUUGGAUUAGCAAAGGCUGGGAGCAUCUGAAAAGCAUUUCUGAGAGGGAAUGGGGCCAGCUCACAGUCGUCAGUGUUAGAGGGCAGUUUGGCUUCAACAGCUAACAAUGCGGACUAGGCUGCUGGACCCAGUGUUUUCCGUUAGGACCCGAUGGAGAGGUCCAUGGACGCACAGACACUCCUGCACAAAUGCUUGUGACUACACAAACAGCCGCGUGAAUGCAGUCAGUGGCAGGCAAAACAAUGAGGUAGAGGUACAUAUGCUGAUCUGUGCAAAGAUGUUCAGGGCGUCCGUUACUAGCAUCAGACGGCCUGCGGAAUGGCGGGAGCAACGCAGUCUCGUGUGUAUAAACAUGUUUGCUUGGGAGCUUUCUGAGAGGGUGGGACAAACAUUAACGAGAGUUAUGCUAGACUGUGGGCACUGCCCGGAGAACCCUUUCCCCCUUAUCUUAAUUUCUCAUCAUUUAAAGUUUAACUACUGGCUUGAAUUAUUGUUGAAUAAAAAGUUCAAAGUCUGAAACUUCUGCACUUGCAAAAAGACCAGCAUAUGAACGAGAGAAGCGGGGGUGGGGCCCGAAGCAGAGAUGGGGGAUUCUGUGCCAGCAGUUGCCGUGGGCACCCGUGGCAUCAGAUGGCCCUUCCUCUUUCCUGGAGAAAGCCUUCAUGAGGCCAGGGAACCUGGUCCUGAAGUUGCUUAGGUAUCUAGUCCUUUGAUGUGGACCUAGCUUUAGUCACUCAGUAUUACCCAGAACACCCUUUGCUCCACAGGGUCACUCUACCUAAGUGACCCGGGGCCUUGGGAAAUUAGUACAGACUUUACCAGGGAUGCCAAGAUGUAAACCUCAGGACUGAAUUGAGCCUAGCUGACCUUGUCCUCAGUUCCACAUGCUGAGCAGGCAGUGGAGGUGACACCAUGCCCAAUGGUGGAACUGUUUCCCUUCAGAUCAUCAUUCAAAGGUGCAACUUGGGACUGGAUGGGGGAUAUCGCUCAGUGGUAGAGAGCUGGUUUACUACGCACAAGGUAAUUCUCGUUACGGGGCUGGAGGCAUCAACACGAAGACACGAUUAGAGUUACUUCAGCCAGGUGCUGCCUCUUGGGAAGCCAGUCCCAAGAGUCACAUGUGCCCCACUGUCUGCAGUAGAUGUAGGACAGAGCCUGGAGUUCACUGAUCUGAUACUCGGGUAAAUUACACAAGGAGCCUUCUCGGCCCUAUCUACUGUAUGCUGGGACUCUGUGCAUGGUUUGAGCCCGGUUUCGUCAGCAGUUUGCACGGCCCACAGCUCCUUUCCUUUGGCACCCAGAUCUACAGCCGGCCAUGAGUUACCUCUGUGUGCAGCAGUGACAUCGAGAGGACACCCACUGCUGCCACCCAUGCACGAGAAUACCUCCGUAGAGGUUAAAGGUAGCCCUUGAUGGAGCCUGCUGGGCAUCGCUGGAAACACUGGCUCAGUGGCUACCUGGCCUGGGAGUCUCCCAUGGAGGAAGCCUUGCUCCAGCCCGAGACCACAGAGCUCCACUCAGUGAGCCUCAGAAACACGGGUCAUGAGCCGAGCGUAUGUGUGAAGAGGCCACGGGAGCACAGCCGAGGGUCGACAGACCAUGGACGGUGAACAUACAGAAGUGAUGAGCCACAGCCAGAGCCUACCGACGGUUUGCCUGUGUUGUUUGCUGCUCAUUUUCAGAAGACAGAAGAGCUUCCUAUCAUGAUUUUCUCAUAGCUUCCUUCUCAUACUUGGCCACACAUCUGGUCAUACGAAGGAUGGCUGGGUCAUGAAGUACCUCCUCACCUUUUAUCACUGCAAACGUCUUCACUGUGUUUAAUGCUUUCAGGUGUGUUUAUUUUUAUUUGUGUGCAUGCAUGUGAUAUGUAUGCAUGUGGUGUGUGUGGGUGCCUGCGGAGGGCAGAUGAGAGCAUCGGAACCCCCAGAGGGACACCCGCAUAUGGACGCUGGGAACUGAACCCAGGGCCUCUGCAAGAGCGGCCAGUGAGCCAUCUCUCCAGCCCCUAAGACAUUUGACUCAGUUCUGCUCGAUCUGAUACUAGUAUUGCCUUAGCCUUAGCAGUUAGACUUCUUCCUUGUACACUGCACCCAUCUCUUUCCUUUCCGCUCUCCUUUAUCACGCUGUGUUUGAUGCUAUUAUGGAAACGAUCUGGCACUCAUUGUAAUAGGCAUUAGCCACUCUGUACCCCGUCAUCCCAGCUUCUCUUCUGGGUACAUGGUAAGGUUCUGCUUCACUGCCUUUGAAGUUUGGUAGGUAUAGUUAUGUGUCUUGCUGCAGCCACUAAAGUCAAAAUACAUUUGCUUCUGGGUCAAAACCUUCAGGGAUUGUGACAGUUAAGGAAGCCAAGCCGCUAGUCCAUCAAUGCUGUACAUUCAUGAAAGAGAUGAGUGGAGCCACUCACAGCAGCACACAGGUCCCACUGAGCCCGUGAGACGUGGCUAGCCCGCACUCAGGUGUGUGCGAGUAUAAAAUGCACUCAUUAGUUCCUGAACUGGUAAGAUAAGAAGAGAUUAUCUCCACAGUAUUCUGUUGAUCCCAUGUUUGAACCUUGGAUAUACUGGGUUAAGUAAAAUAUGAUUAAAAUUAAUUGCAUUUGUUUUGAAACAUUUUUGAAAUGUGACUGAAAUGAUUUAGAUUUGUAGCUUACUGCAUUUCCACAGAAGACUCAGCUAAUCUAUGACAAAUGAUGGAGGAAGGAAACAUGAAAACCUCCUGACAG